AACAAAUUGGAACGGAUCAUGAUAUUACAUGAUUACAUUUUAAUGGUUGUUAUAACUAGAAACCUGCCAACAAUAAUGUUAAACCUGUUCAAAAGGCAUAAUCAUUAUGACGUGUAAUGAACUGUUCUGACGCAUACCAUAAAUCUUGUUUUCCCGCCCGUGCUGUAAAGAGUGCUUAAUCAGUCCUGCAGGAUGGGAGGAUGCCUGUUCACUGCUCGUGUUCGCAGGAGUCGUCCCCAGGCUCUCUGGAGCAGUGUAUGCAAAUCCAACCCUUAGGAGAGGCCCAUCAUGCCGGCACCCAGAUCCUGUAUGGGUGUGGUGGAGUAUGUCCCAGCUGAGUUACCUGAACCCCUAAAGGAUGCACGCUGACACACUUUAUCUGAGGUCACUUGCCUAAUGUCAGGUGGGGAAGCAUUAGCCUCUGGCUAGUUCCGUUACAAUGAAGUGGAGUGGAAACGGCAGGGCUUGUCCAGAAAGGAUUUCUUUGGGGGAUUUAAUUGGACUUGCCUGCCAUGUUUGGUGAUCUUUAAGAUGGAAUGAAGAGCAGCCUACAUCCCAUUCCAAAUGCCUACAGCUGAAAUAGAUUUUGCAUGCUUGAACCUGCACAUGGGUUCCAACCGAUCAAAGCACAGAUCAAGCUAUUAGUAGAUGGUUAAAAAUGAAGCGGCUCAUCUUUUUGGAAAUGAGUGCUUUUGUCCUCAAAAAUCAGGAAUUUCCCUUGUCAAUAAUCUUGACCAGUACCAUCAGAAGACUUGGAUCAAACAUCUCUCCUCUGAAGACGUAACAUUGUCAUUACAUCAUUUUUGUGGCAGAGCUGCAGGCUUGGCAGUUACUUCUAUCAGUCCACUGAAAUGGAAAGUCUUACAUAACACCAAAACAAACGGCUCCUAUGCCCUACUGUUGGAGUCGCACGUUUGUAAACAUGGGACCAACAAGAAUCUAAUUGCUUUUCUGUAGUGGCCGAAAGGACGAGAAAGCCCUGAAGUGCAAUAGCAAAUGCCCAUGGUCCUUGUCCCUGCAACUGUAUAUAUGAAGGGCGAGAUUAUGUGGCCAGGUCAACGGGGUCGGAAGCAUCAUUGCAUAAUCAUCUCCGUGCAUUUGACAUACAUGUUCUGUUGAGCAUCAAACCCGAGCACCUUUUUUUUCGUCCUUUUUUCUUUUUUCUAUUCCUUGCUAGCACAGUUCCCAUGUGUGAACUGGAUGAACAAAUCGCAUCUGACAAGUGCAGAGUUUUUUUUUUCGUUUUUUUUUCUGUACUGUUGUGGCUGGGUAGGGAAGUGGGCGUGUGCAGAGCAUGGCCAACAGGGGAGUGUGAUCCUUGGCGACAGCUGUGUUGUGUUGUGCGCAAGAGAGGGAGUGAGCAGGCGAACAAGCCCACCAAUCUGGUUGGGUGAGAGGAGGUUCUAUAAAAGGGCGGAGCGCGGGAGGGUACUAACCUCUGCUCAAGAGCGCUCCAUCGCUCAGCUGGGUUCCCAGGUCUGCGAGGGCUUUGGUUGGCUGUGGUGCCGUCGUCUGGAGCGUGGGCUAGCUGCAAAGGAGUUGCACUUUUAUUGGCUCCAUCUCCAGCAGAAAGCUUGUGAAAGGUCUUUGAGCCCCAUCCCACCCCGAGAAAGAGCAUCUCUGCUCCAUUUGCACAAACAUGAUCAUCAGACUGGGCAGACUGACCCCUGGAUACUUCCGUCUCCUCCAGAGACAGGUGGCAGGAGAGGUGCAGAUGCAGCCUCAGGAUCGAGCAGUCAACCAAAUUGCCAUGAUGCUGGCCAUCCUGGGCCUCAGCCUGUCCUACUACAGCGCUCGCCAGAUGACGGAGACAGUUCAGCGCGAUCCCACACCCUGAACAUGCCCCCUGCAAUCUGGUUUGGGAUGGCCGGAGUGGAGAAAGCUGAUGAAAUGAGGAGGGGUGGAGGGGGAGAAGAAAGGGGGAUGAAGAGAAGAUGACGUCCAGCACAUUUUAAAUUCUCACUCACACUGCUGACAGUCGCAUUCAGACACUGGAUUUUUUUUUUUGCUUUUUACAUUGGGAUAACUAACUGUGUGGCGAAAGAUUUCAGAGUUCAGGGCGGCUCUUGGCGGCAGGCUUCUAGGUUUUAUUUUUUGUUUUUGUUUUGUUUUGUCUCAAGUCUGUCCUCAGGAGGAAAAGGGGGUUGGGAGUUAAUGGCCUUGGGGUCCUGUGAACUGGUGAGGAGAACAAGAAACCCUUCAAAUGCCCAUGUGCUUGUGUGGCCUGCGUUUCACUGGUUGCUGCGACGCAUGCAUGCGAGGAUCCAGCAAUGCUGCUCCUGGGUCUAAGGGGACAAUGAUGCACGUCCUGGCAGUGUUUCAAGCCCAGUUAUGAGGGCUUUAUUUAAAGGGAGUGUUGGUCUAGGUUCUCUGCAUUAAAUAUGUCAAGCAACAGUUGAAAGCAGUCCCACAAGAAAGAUGGGGUGGAAACUGUGAACCCUCUAAAUGUUUUCUGUUUUGUUGUUCAUCAAAGCCUUAGAGAGCCGUCAGAACUUGUUGAAGGAGAUGUCACUUCAUUAGACAGUUUUAACUCCUGGGAAAUUUUCCCACCUCACAGGCAACAUACAACGGCCUUGUUCAACAGUAAUGCAUUUCUAGGCACUAUAGUGGACUUUAAAAAGGGACCGUUGCAUCACUACUGGUGUCUUCUGUUUUGCUGUUCAGUGUUCUGCAUUACUAGACAAGUCAUUUAAAAUGUGUGGCUUUUUAGGGGAACUAUAUCCUUGGCAAUAUCUUUGUGUCUACCUUCAAAUAUUGCAUGAAGAGCCUCUUUGUUUUUUGUUUAAAACAAUCUUUAAAUCUUUAGUACUUUCAUUGAAGACUUCUAAAAACCAUAAUGAUAACGAUGAAUGUAUGUUAUUUUUUUAAAUGUUGAUUCAAAUAAAGCUGUGAAGUUUUUUGGACAAAAUUAAGAAUAUCUGCAGUUAUCUGCAAGCAGAAGUGUACAUGAAGGUACUUUACUAAAAUUAAGUUGCGGAGAUGUUCCCGGCCUGCUCUCUCUCUCGUGGAGGCGGGCUGCUGUGUGCCUCAUCAUGGUUCUGUGCCAGGAGAGACUCUUGUGUCUGCGGAUGUUUUGAAGCACGGCUGGCUUGGCUCUGCCACUUCCUCUUGCGCAUGGUGUGUGGCUCCCGCAGAAGUGUGCCAUCCGUCCUGAACAGGAAGUGGCUGUGGUAUCUGCUAGACAUCGUCUGUGUGUAGGACAGAGUGUUUUUGGCUGUACAAAGUAGAGCACUUUGCUCCCCUACUUGCCUCACUUUCUGCAUAGACCAUAACAUACAUAAGUCCCUUUACCUUCACCUACUAUAGAUAAGUAAUGCUAACAAUCUGUAUGCAGCUAUCUGGCUCAAACUGGCACAGGCCAAUGCAUACAGUGAACCAAAUAUUGGGUUCCAACAGGGCACUUUAAAUAGCCUUUUAAAGGCUAAUAAGUAAACGGCUGUAGAUGAAGAGGGGGUUGUCAGGUACAUGUUCUCUAUAUCUGCUAUACAUUAACCAGUAUGUUUUUAAAAGUUAAGGCCCCUCCUUGUCUGCAGGGUGUUAUCUCAAACACGUCGCUUUUUAUCAGACACUGGAACAGUUGAGGCUAGGAUCACAUGGUGGCUGUGUUGGGUGGAUUGGAGAAGAACGUGUUGCUUGUUAGAACAUCUGAUAAAAGCCGCUGGUAGUUGAGGACAUCUACAAAGCCUGUAUUUGUUGUUUGUCUUUAAGGGCACAGAGUUGCUCGAGGCGUUGUCAUAAUUGCCAGUGGGUGCCCUCAUGCGACGUGAGCUUGAGUGAGUUUUAGAGGACGUAUGGAUGUUUGACAGGCCUCUGUGUGUGGGCAGGGGUGUUAAGGGGAAGAGCUGCUCCCUUCAGGACCAUGUCAAACAUGGGGCAGGGGUACAGGCUUAGGGAUCAUUGCUUGCUUGCGCUGUGCAGUGGCUCGCCAGUUAAGCAAUGUGUUUGGCUGGACUGGAUGGGAAAAGCAUGUAUGUAAGUUAGUCUUGAGGUCAUGAGUUGGUUCACUUUCUUGUGUUGACUCGGGCCACCACAGAUGUUGUAUUAAAUUUGGGCUUUGCUUUUCAAAUUGCACAAGAAUUCCUGCAUUUCAAUUUUCUCCUCAAUCUGAGGUGAUCAGAGGGAGAUGAAAUGUUGACCUUUUUUAUGCUGCUGGAAAUUGGAUUCCCCACCAAACCAUAUGGUUUUUAAAAUUAAGUCUGCAGAUAAUAUGUUGCAUCUCCUCACAGUAAACAAGCCCAGGAGAAGCAAAGGCAGUUUUUAUUUUUGGGAGGGAGAGCGAGCGAGGGAGGAGGACAGUGCCUGCUCGUGCCUCGGCAGAUGUGUUGCCCUGUGACGGACUGCAGCCUUGUAGGGUGACACGUUUUAGUACUGCCUGCAAAACAGCCCCCCCACCUCCCGUUCGGUCAUUUCGCUCCCCCCAUUCGCUUUGGGUCUUGUACAUCACUGGCCACGUUCUCUCAGAGACGCUCCGUCACGGGGCACGUUCUCUCUGAGACACUCUGUUCCAGUGUUCCAACUCAGGACAUGAACCCGAGCGGCGGCUUCCCAUUGGCUGUGCGGUGAUGCGUCAUGACGUUGCCCCAAUUUAGAGCCGCAGAGACAAAGACUCGAUGGCACAGGCGUAGUCUGCAGGGAUGCUGCAGAUGGGCGUUUAAUAAAGGAGACAAAAGACCUGUCAUUAUCAAUAUUUAUUUCAUAUUCAUGACUGGUUAGGGUAAGGGUGAGCUUCAUAAAAUGGGCGAGGCCUUACUAGCCUUUCGGUUUGUGAAUACUUGAAUUUAAGAGUUUGGAAAUGGCCUUUGUAAACAAACAUUUCACCAUGAAUUUCACAUUUGGUUUGACUUCAGUCACCUUACCACCUUAGUAGCACACAUGGAGUUGCUUGGGAAGUUGUGUAAAAUAAAGAUCCAUGUCAGAGCAAUAUCUACCCUGUAUAUAAAUCUACCAGAGAAGGAACUAGAGAGAGGAUGUCCAAACUGGACAGGUGACCUUGGCUGUAAGACUGUAUAGUUCCUAUUGUGUAUGCUAUGUUUGUGUUGAGUGUGUGUCCAUUGUAGAGUAAUGGAAAUCAUUUGUUGCUUAUGUAUUCAUUUGAUCUUGUAUAUUACUUACUGAGUGCUUGCUUUUUAACGCGAAUGGCAAUACUAUUUGUACAAAGUUUGUACCGCCAUCACUGUGAAGAACCCACAGGACCGUCUGUUCAGGCCUUUACUGUGGGUCUGUAUAGCUCAUAUAUAAGAUCAUAUCAUGGCUCUCUUAGCCUCGCCUGGUGUGUGCUCACGUUCAUUUUCAAAACUAGUAUUGUACAGCCCCGUCCCAGCCGUGUCCCUCUGAGAGAAACCGUAUGUGUGUGUGUGCUGUGUGAACGCUCCUAUCCCAGUCUGAAGCCGUGUCCCUCUGGGAGAAACCGAAUGUGUGUGUGCUGUGUGAACGCUCCAAUCCCAGUCAGAAGCCGUGUCCCUCUGAGAGAAACCGUAUGUGUGUGUGCUGUGUGAACGCUCCAAUCCCAGUCAGAAGCCGUGUCCCUCUGGGAGAAACCGAAUGUGUGUGUGCUGUGUGAACGCUCCAAUCCCAGUCUGAAGCCGUGUCCCUCUGGGAAAAAACGUAUGUGUGUGUGUGCUGUGUGAACGCUCCAAUCCCAGUCAGAAGCCGUGUCCCUCUGGGAGAAACCGAAUGUGUGUGUGCUGUGUGAACGCUCCAAUCCCAGUCUGCACUAGGCUCUGGCAUGGAUCUGGACUCCAGCAGAAUCAGAUGUGGUCUAGGGUGUAUGGUGCCUGAGGAGGGACACAUUUAUUUCAACCUUUCCUGUAUAUUCUGCCCGACCGAAGCGAGAGCCCAUGGCCCUUAUCUAGGCCGGGUCCAGAGCGUUGUCAUCUGGAUACUCUGUAAAGACCUGAUUUUGUGCUUUUGCUGCUGCAUUUGCAAAACAAAAUAAAGAUUUAUUCAAAUGAACAUUUUUGCUCUGGACAUUGUCUUUUGUCAGCAACAACAACAGCCAUAUGACAGUGUUGUUCAUUAGCUUACAUGAAUUUCCAUUUACUCUAUUAUCCUAAAAAUCUAUUAAGCACAUGUAUUUGGGAACAUGGAUCUCAACCUUACCAACAGCUCCACUGGUUGAGCAAGGUGCUAAGGACAUCAAGUUCAUAGUUACAGGGGCCACUCAGACUGAUGGAGAUGAAUAUAUGAACAACACUGAGUUGCUUUGGAUACAAAUGUAAGUGACUAAAAAUGCCAAUCCUUAUAUGUUCUUCAUGAUGUGUUUUGCAUGACUUUUUUUGUUUGUUUGUCUGCGCACCCAGUGUUGCCCAUCUCUUGGUCAGUGGGAUAGAAAGUGGGAUUUUAUUUUAGAAAGGCACACAAAGCUGUCUGGGCCGCGGACAUCAGUGUUGUGACUGGAGCCUGUGUAUCUGUCUGAAACGCACCGAAGCCUUCUGAGCUGAGCUGAGUAAGGCAGCACUCCUUUUCCCCCAGAGUGGCACACCAGCCCAUCUGCCUCUUCGUACCCCCUGUCCGCCCACGCGGCCUUUGCCCCCU
ensembl:lncRNA